CUACGUGCCAGCAGCCGCGGUAAUACGUAGGGCGCGAGCGUUGUCCGGAAUUAUUGGGCGUAAAGAGCUUGUAGGCGGUUUGUCGCGUCUGCUGUGAAAGGCCGGGGCUUAACCCCGUGUAUUGCAGUGGGUACGGGCAGACUAGAGUGCAGUAGGGGAGACUGGAAUUCCUGGUGUAGCGGUGGAAUGCGCAGAUAUCAGGAGGAACACCGAUGGCGAAGGCAGGUCUCUGGGCUGUAACUGACGCUGAGAAGCGAAAGCAUGGGGAGCGAACAGGAUUAGAUACCCUGGUAGUCCACGCCGUAAACGAUGAGUGCUAGGUGUUAGACCCUUUCCGGGGUUUAGUGCCGCAGCUAACGCAUUAAGCACUCCGCCUGGGGAGUACGACCGCAAGGUUGAAACUCAAAGGAAUUGACGGGGGCCCGCACAAGCGGUGGAGCAUGUGGUUUAAUUCGAAGCAACGCGAAGAACCUUACCAGGUCUUGACAUCCCUCUGACCGCUCUAGAGAUAGAGUUUUC
rnacentral:rRNA from 1 species